GAUGAACGCUGGCGGCGUGCCUAAUACAUGCAAGUCGAGCGAACGGACGAGAAGCUUGCUUCUCUGAUGUUAGCGGCGGACGUGUGAGUAACACGUGGAUAACCUACCUAUAAGACUGGGAUAACUUCGGGAAACCGGCGCUAAUACCGGAUAAUAUUUUGAACCGCAUUGUUCAAAAGUGAAAGACGGUCUUGCUGUCACUUAUAGAUGGAUCCGCGCUGCAUGAGCUAGUUGGUAAGGUAGCGGCUUACCAAGGCAACGAUGCAUAGCCGACCUGAGAGGGUGAUCGGCCACACUGGAACUGAGACACGGUCCAGACUCCUACGGGAGGCAGCAGUAGGGAAUCUUCCGCAAUGGGCGAAAGCCUGACGGAGCAACGCCGCGUGAGUGAUGAAGGUCUUCGGAUCGUAAAACUCUGUUAUUAGGGAAGAACAUAUGUGUAAGUAACUGUGCACAGCUUGACGGUACCUAAUCAGAAAGCCACGGCUAACUACGUG
rnacentral:rRNA from 1 species